rnacentral:rRNA from 1 species
GACGAACGCUGGCGGCGUGCUUAACACAUGCAAGUCGAGCGGUAAGGCCCCUUUCGGGGGUACACGAGCGGCGAACGGGUGAGUAACACGUGGGUGACCUGCCCUCAGCUCUGGGAUAAGCCUGGGAAACCGGGUCUAAUACCGGAUAUGACUCCAUGACGCAUGUUGUGGGGUGAAAGCCUUGUGCGGCUGAGGAUGGGCCCGCGGCC